GUAAGCCUGCGUUGAACACUCUGAUUUUUUCACAGUAAACGUCGCGAAUCCCCACCCCGACAACUGAAUGCCAGGAUAGACCAUCGCAAGGAUGGCCGAGGCCGCUCAGUGCGCACCUUUUGCAAGGCGGACCGGCUACCCCGUGCCAGGAAUCCAACUACGAGCUUU
rnacentral:rRNA from 1 species